CAAGGACAUCAACUGCCCGCGGGUGUGUUGCGUUCAGAGUUCAGAGUCUUCAGUGUUGAACUCUUCAGCGGAGAACAGCCAGACACACAGGAUGCGCGCGCUGACGGGAGUGGUGGUGAUGCUGGCGGUUCUGGUGUGCUCGAUGGCGGCGGCGCGGUGUCCCAUCGACUGCCGCGUGGUGCGGUGCGCCGGCAUCCCUCAGAGCAACUGCACCGCGCUGGGCGGGACCUUCCUGCCCGCCGACCACUGCAGCAGCUGCUGCGACACGUGCGCCGUCACCAGGCAUCCUGGAGAAUCCUGCGAGCUAUCGAAUUUUGCAGUAAGAGUUACGUGUCAACCACCAUCAACAUGCGUGGAUAACGUCUGUAUGUGAUUUCAAAGAACAAAUUGUGUAUACUUCAAAAUUUAAACUGACAAAACUUAUUAUCUUGUUGAAAAUAAACAUUUUUCUAAAGCUCUCAGCACCUUAAAGGAAAUUGCAAUUUAUUUUAAUUUAUAACCAUACACCUAGGCGGGAAAAAGUACGCGUGGAAAGGUAUCGUUUACGUAUCUAUCAAGGUGAUUCACGAAGAAGUGUCAUAAACUGAAAAAAAAGGCUAGUGACUGACAUUGUUUAGAGUUAGCAAACUUGAGGUGCGAUCGCAACACGUGUGUAGUCUCGAUGUUGCGCAUAAACGCACCUAUGUGAGGCGCGCGCGCUCACAGCAUUGACAGACGGUGGUCGCCGCAGAUUAGAGGCUGGUGUUCCCAUGAGUGCGGCGGAAUGCAUGGCCAAUAAAGGUGGCGAGUUUGAAGAUUUAUUUUAAAUUGUGGUAACCAUUAAAAUAACCAGUUAUCAGCUCCUUCGUGUCUUCCACUUUGCCACGAAUCAUCUUGUAUAUGUUUGUCUAGCCAAAUACAAGGAAACAUUCAGUGAAUGCAAAAAUAAUUGACAGUGAAAUAAUGAAAAAUUGUUUAUGAAUUAUUUUUCAGAGCGGGAACAGCUACUUUAAGCUAAGGUAGUAUGCGACAGAUCAGGUUUAGAGCUUUAAAACUUCAAAUAUCCUCUCCAAUAUAUAUAAUUCACAUAGGCCUAUACCAUAAGUUGGAGGAUAUUGGUAGAUUGGUGACGAAGGUACAAUUGAUUAUGGUCGUAGGUCUCUCGCUGUAUAGUAAAGUUUCAAGAUCUGCAAGCCAGAAAAUUUUAUGAUUUUGAAAUUUAUAGGGUUCGUUUGCCUUCCAUGAACAUGUAGGCUGCCUUCACUUUUGAUGCCAAUUUAUGUACACGUCUUUUGUAUGCGUAUAUGUACUGGUGAUGCCUAUAUGUAGUUUGCCAAUUAUGUAAAAGUUAUAUAAUAUAUAUUUAUAUUUCCUUGUUAGGUAGGCAAUACCUUUAUAUGAUAAUAAUUUAUAUUUGGGUGCCUAGAAUGUUUACUAUUCUCACCACACAGUAUUAUUAAUACUGUUAGCCAGAUAGGAAAAAAGCCAUUUGAAUAACAUCCUUUUAAUAUCAGUAAAAUAGGGCAGGUUAAAGGUAUUAACGAUAAACGUGAUAAUUGGUAGAGAAAAAUAGUGAAUCGAUUACUGGACAAGGUUAUUAAGUGAUAACAUACACAACUGCAGAUUACAGUCGUAGGAGAACUUUAUAUAUCUGUAUACUGUUGUGGUCAGGACAGUAAACAGCAUGCAAUUUACGUGUUUUAAAGACUGAUACACAAGAACACAUAUACACCUGCAACAGUGAUCUUAAGAUACUUGGUUAAAUAAAGAAACAAUUAAUUUUUGUAACACAGCUCAGUAUAACUGUGCCGGACCCUCUUCCUAAUAGUCUGGUAAUGUACGUCGGGCAGAAUUAAAGGACAAUAGUUCUGUUUCCAGUUUUCCAGUUUCACUGAUAUGAAUUGCACAUAAUUUUAUUACUGUAUGUGUCUCUACAGUGGGAUCAAUAUUUCUCAAAAUACUAAUUUUAUUAACAAGUAUGUGGUAGCUACUUGUGAGUGUUCGGCUCAAAGCGAAAUGAGUCCCAAAAUCCCCGGACAGCUGGGGAGAAAAGAGUAAUGAUCUUGAAAUUGAUUUGCGGAUAGGCAACGUUACUAUUUUCAGCAACAUGUACUAAAACGGAUAAAUCAGUAGGAACCAGUAUUUUACACACAGUAAAUACAUAACAAUUUUUAUGUUGUAGAGUUGCUUUCUGACGCACUUGGCUUGUUUAAAACACAAGGCUUUACAGUAAAUACAGUCUGAAAGUAUUUCAACGCUUACUGCGAACUUGUUUAUGAUGCACACUCCUAUGUUACAACUCCUUGUGGAAUUGACUUAGUUCUAUAUACUUUCCUAGACUUUAAAUGAAUUAAGUCCAACAAUUUUGAUAUGUAUUGCUUAAGAGAGCUAAAUACACAUUAUUUGUAUUAAGAUAUUAAUACCACGUGUGCAUUCGAUGGCUUCUAGUCCCAGAAGAACGUUUUAUGACCUAAAAUAAUUAUUCUGAUUAGCCAGCUGUGGCCUAAGCCAACAGAUGCCUAAUGUAAAAGUUGAUAGAAACAAACGUAAAUGAAGGCUAACAUGAGAUAGACAAACAUCAAAUGCAAAUCAAAAUAUUUGCACUUAAUAAAAUGUUUAGGUAAAAAAUAACAUAUUUCAAUACUACCUAGAGGGGUACAAUAUAUUGUUGUCAAAUGGCAUCUCUAGCUUGCAUAGAGUAGCAUGAUCCAUAGAGAUCCAAACACAAUAUUAUUAAAUGUAAAUAAACAGUUUUGCAUGGACCACUGUGACUCAUUUCGUCACAAUGUGAAACGGCAUGGGAAGGGGCAUAGGAAAGAAUUUGAUUCAUGUGAACUCGUAAAAUAUAAAUUUCUUCUUCAGAAAAAGUUUCCAUAAGAAAUGCUUCUCUUACGAGAAUAAAUGAAAGGACU